rnacentral:rRNA from 1 species
UACAGAGGUCUCGAGCGUUAGGCGGAAUCACUGGGCUUAAAGCGUGUGUAGGCGGAUCGGUAAGUACCUUGUGAAAUCCCACAGCUUAACUGUGGAACUGCUUGGUAUACUGCCAGUCUUGAGCCAGCUAGGGGCUACCGGAACAAAUGGUGGAGCGGUGAAAUGCGUAGAUAUCAGGAGGAACACCGGUGGCGAAGGCGGAUCUCUGGGCCUUACCUGACGCUGAGGAGCGAAAGCUGGGGGAGCAAACAGG